UACGUAGGGUGCAAGCGUUGCCCGGAUUUAUUGGGCGUAAAGGGCGCGUAGGCGGCUCGGCACGUCCGUUGUGAAAUCGCCCGGCUCAACUGGGCGGGGUCAGCGGAUACGGCCGAGCUUGAGCAAGCUAGGGGGCAAUGGAAUUCCCGGUGUAGUGGUGAAAUGCGUAGAUAUUCGGAGGAACACCAGUGGCGAAAGCGACUUUCUGGGGCAUUCCUGACGCUGAGGUUCGAAAGCUCGGGGAGCAAACAGG
rnacentral:rRNA from 1 species